rnacentral:rRNA from 1 species
GACGAACGUUGGCGGCGUGCUUAAUACAUGCAAGUCCACUGAAGCAGUGGUAGCAAUAUCGCUGUGGAGGUGGCGCACGGGUGAGUAACACGUAGGUAAUCUGCCUUCAGGUCUGGCAUAACUCCGGGAAACCGGGGCUAAUAGCAGAUGAUGCAGCGGCUCGACAUCGAGACAGUUGUUAAAGCUAUGGCGCCUGAAGAUGAGCCUGCGUCUGAUUAGCUAGUUGGCGGGGUAACGGCCCACCAAGGCAACGAUCAGUAGCUGGUCUGAGAGGAUGAUCAGCCACACUGGGACCGAGACCCGGUCCAGAAUCCUACCGGAGGCCGCAGUAAGGAAUAUUGCUCCAUGGGGGAAAUACUGAAGCAGCAACGCCGCGUGAGGGACGAAGGGCUUUUGCUUGUAAAACUCUGUAGUGAGAGAAAAAAAUCCCAAUCUUUGGGACAUGAUGGUAUCUCAAAAGUAAGCCCCGGCUAACUACGUG